AGAAGACAAAGGGCAUAGCUCCAGAUUGUUUCUUGUUUUCCUUUCUCUUCUUUCUUUUCUCCUUUUUCUAUUCUAUGUCAGCAGUUUAAAAGAUCACCCCUCAGUGGCAGCUUGGAAGGCAGAAGUUGGAGACUGCCUGGGGAGAAGGGCUCCCAGCUCCAAGCACCAAUGCUUCCCCAUUCCACUGGUGUCCACAGGAACUCUGGGAAGGAAGAGGCAGAGGAAGUGUGACUUGCCCUCAUGUGACAGAAGAUGAGAGUGGCUUAUACCGAUCAGACAUUGCUGAGCACAGAGUUCAUAUUUCUGGAGCACUCUGAAAAGGGGCUUAAAGGCCCUAUGGAUUGUGUCCAGUUCUGGACAUCUUGUGGGGUCUAAAACCAGCCCUAAAGCAAGCUUGAUUACAGCUCAGGGUCUCUUCAUUGUCCUGGAGGAUCAAAGAGGAUUUAGCAUAGGAGGGCUUGCUUUGAACAGUGAGCACAGAUGAAUUUCCCUGCAGGCAUUGGGGCCAUCCUGAGUGCUGGAGCAGGCUGGGGUGGCACAGGUGUCCUCUUAAAAAUCUCCAAACUGCCCUCGGCAUGGCUUAUUGCUGUGUAGCCAUCACUCCUGACGUCAAGCUUUUCAGCGAAGGCAAGCUUUAGCUUUGGAAUCUGAAAGCAGCUCUUCUUUGGACUUCAGAGAAGCACACUUACAUGAGGCGUUGAAACUGUUCUCCCUUGUAUUUUCAAGAAAUACACUUCACUGCGCUUUUCUCCUGGCACUCCUGGCUCUAUGCUACCUUUCCUGGGAGUAAAUACACCCCAACCAAUUUCUCUGUUGCCAUUUUCAGGCCAUAUUUGUUUGCAACUUUGUGUGUCUCAGAAACUUCAUCGUCAGUGAAACUCUGGAACGUCAGGAAGCAAGUAGAUCUGCUGCAGAUUUACAUUAAAGACCUUUGAAUCCAACAGCCAGUCUCGACUGAACCUCGGAGACGUAAAGAUCCCACAGAUGCUCUGCUUUUAUGAAAUUACUGGAAAACAAGCAGCCAAGCAGCAAGGAUUGCCAGUGCCUCUGCAGAGAGAAUGGCUGCAGCAGGAAUUCUCCUCUUAUCGGUUGUCAGCAUGCUGAGGCAGGAAACCAGCUGGGAGCCUCCAUGGAAGCAUCGAGGAAACCAGGCUCUGCUACUUCUGCUGCUCGCAAAGUUGCAUUUCCUUCCCUUGUGGGCAGGAGUGGAAGCAAGACAUAUUUCAGACACAUCAGUGUCCAAAUCUCUGUGAGAAGCAACUUCACUUACAGCUUAGGUGUCUGUGGGGUGCUUUGCUGUCCUUCAGGAAAGAAGCUAACUGCAGCUGUUCAUUUCAUUCUCUCAGACUUAAACUGAGAUUGAACAAGUCUCAUUACACUUCCUGUCAUAUUUUUGAGAUCAGAAUCACACUAUUUAAAAAAAAAAAAAGUAUUUUGUAGACAUUUUUAUCUCAUCUAUAUCUAGCAAAACAGCAGCCACCAUUAAGGUGGAUUCUGCAAUAGUUUGGAUUCCAUGCUGCUAAGCAGAUGGUAUUUAUUGACAAACCUACCUCUAGACUGUUUGUUCUUGGGGCUGUAGGUGCAGCCAGACUGAAUUCACUGCUCAUUAUGAAAAUAUUCUUUAUACCAGAAAACAAUGUGCCAUUUGGCUAUGGUAGACACCCAGAAACAUCCCAUCACUCUGACCACCACCUCCCCAAAACUGCCUCUUUGUUGCCACAUGUGGACUAUGUUUCCUGUCUCCUUUCUUCAGAAGCCCUCCUUGUGCACCUUGCAGUAAACAAAGGACCGCAAAAUUCAUGAAUCAAGAUGGAAAAUGGACAUACUUCCAGUUUUAAAUCCUCACAAAUGUAAACCUAAGUCCACGGGCACAGGAAGAGUGGCUAGGACAGAAUAUUUGCUAAUGAAGCAACAUAAGCAAAAUUGUAUCAUGUACAGCUUUCACACUAAAAACUGUGUGUUUUUAGACUGAGGCAAGAAAGACAGGCAAGAAGCAUUAUAAAGAGGUAUGGAUUUGGUGCGAACUCAGGAGCUGCCAGCUACUUCAUGUAAAGCAAAGUGUGUUGUCUUCCUGGUUGCAGCCUCCCACAAGCACAUGUGCAGUGACCAGCAGACCAGUCUGAAUGGCUUCUGCAGAAACACAUACUGCAGAGCCACUAGGUGAGGUGCGAGGGAAAUAUCAGCCCUAAAAUCAUUCAUGCCUUCCUGUCUCCUCAGGACUGGUGAUGCACUCAGCACUGGCAAGCCAAGGAAAGGUGGGUAAGGUAUCACUCCAUCACUCCUUACUUGCAUAUCUCCCAAUUAGGUUUCUAUUCAAUGAUUUAAACAGCUAGUUGUGCAUCUUUCAUGGUGUCAUGCCACAGCCCUCUGCAAAUAUGUCUGUAAUUGAGGAUGAUGAAUGCACCUUGUAACUCCACCCUAGGGGGUGGUGGCUGAGACUUCUUUGUUCUUACCUGUUUCAAAGGGUAUAGAAUUUCACCCAGACACACCUGUUACUAAAGAAUAAAGUUCUGCAUUUCAUCAAAAACAUAGAUGUGCACCUCAAGAUAGCCGACAUCCCAGAUUGAUGUGUCACUGAUUUCUUCACCUUCACACCAACAUGAAUCCCCUUUUGCCUGUGGGCAGUGGGAACUGCAGGAUAUAUGAGGUGGCAGAGUGCAACAUCUCAGAGAAGUGCAAACACCAAAUCCCUCCAAAAUAUUUUUAUUAUUUAUCAAGCACUUUUGUAUUAUAGUAAGUAUUUUCUCGCAUAUCUAAAAACAUACGCACCUGGAAAAUAGGUGGUUCUACAAGUACCUGGUUUCCUUAUGUAUAUAAAUUACGUUGCAUAGCAGAAUAACUUCAGCGUCACAGACAAAGCAGCCUCUGACAGAUGUUUUAGCCAAUGUAGGGGUAUUUAUAAAGAUUCUUUCCCAAGUGGGCACUCUGACAUUAUAUACAAUGUUUACUAUUACCUUUGACUUUCCUUUUGUCAGGCUAGCUUGGUCUUCUUGACCACAGUAUUUCCAUGAAACUUGCAAGAAUAACAAUACAUAGGAUUUUUACCCUUCUGUUAACAUCGUCAAAAUUCACUAACAUGUAAGAUAUCAGUGGCCUCAAAAGACACCUUACCUGUGUAAAUUUUGCUCCUUCUGGAAAAUGUGAAUAACCCUGUAUUGACAGUGGAUAUGAAUAACACAGAUUGCCUAUUAAACCAGGAAAAAACUGGCUAGUAUUUCCUAUCUGUUGGAUUCUUGAUGUUCUAUGAGUAGACUGUUGUGGGCAGAAGUUCACGAUGAAGGUGGUGAUCUUCAAUCGCCCACACUGAGUGCAGGAUGGGCUGAAUUUGGAGUAAGCUAGUGAGUUCCAAGUAAAAUUUGAGCUCAGACAACCAUAGACUCAUAGAAUAAUUGAGGCAGGAAAAGACCUCCAAGUUCAUUUAGUCCAACCAUCCACCUACCACCAAUAUUCCCCCUCUAAAUCACAUCCCUUCCUACCAGAUCUAAAUGUUAUUUAUUAGACAUAGUUGGGCCUGGCUAGUAAACCGAGUACAGACAGAAAUACAGCUGUAUAGCCAAUGGGACUCACUGAACUCCAGUACUUACAUGAAAUUCAGGCUUUCUGAAACAAAAUAAUACAGGAAAUUCCCUGUUGGGGGUGGAGGUAGCACAGAAUAGCUGUUGUGCUUCAGCUCACACCCUAACUUAUUUCGAAACAACUUCCCUGUUUAGACAAGCCCUAAGAGAUUGAGACAUUUAUAAUGAGUAUUUAAUCUUUCCAUCUCUUCUUUUCUUACUGUUUUGAUGUUUUCUCAGACUUUGAAAAUUCAAAAUUAUUUUUUCCAGAAACUACAAGCCUUAGGGCAAAAAUAAGGCAGCUAUAAAUUGACCGUUGCCAGUGGGAAUAGAAGGCUUAUAACUUUUUCCAGCACAGGAAAUGUUCAAUAUCUUUACAGCAGUGACCAUGUUUUAAUGCAUUUAUGCCCUCAGGGUUAUAGAAAUCCUUCAUUCACAACUUUAUCCACUGUGGAUCCUAAGGCCGUUAAUACUUCUACCAUGUCAUAAUGCUUUUCAGUAGUAUCAUUAUCGUGUGCAUGUUGCGAAGGACAAAUGGCUACAUGUUUUUUAGAUGAAAUCAGGUCCAGAGACACUCACCGAGAAUGCAGCACCUGAGGCAGCAGGAAUGCUUCUUCAGAAUUCUUCUUAGGAGCGAAGUGCAAUGGAAGGAGUCCUCACCAAGGCCUCAAGGCAUGACAGAAAAACAAUUAACAGUUUGUACAGCAGCAGCAAAACUUCCUCAUUGUCAUUCAGGGAAAUACUGUCUUUGGAAACCAUAAUGCUAGGAGAGUAAUGACAAUAUCACAACAGCGAUUUAGAGGGACACGAGGAGCAGCUCAGAAUACUGGAAAUGAGCAUUUCCUUUCUGUGCUGGAGUUGGGUGCCUUUUUCAUCAUAUAUUGAUUUUUUCUUUUUUCCUCAAGCAGUUGCCCUGUGAUGUUCAGUUUGGAGUAAUGUGCCUUCAUGUUAUUGAUACAAUUGGACUCUGUUGUGAAAGAGAAAUUCCUCAUUUUGGUCUGGAAACCCACACUUGCUUUCACAAAGUGUGUGCUCACAGGCAAAGGAGCAAGUCCUGUCAGAGAGCUUCUGCAGAAGUUUUCCUCUCACUCCUCUUACUUCAGGAACUGCUGUCAUUUAUGAGGGCAAGGAGAGAAGACAGCUUCUCGAGGAAUGUUUUGAAAAUGAAGCUGAGAUGCCUUGUGUGGGCGAGCCCAAUCCUAGCAGCAGGAUGGCUGAGCCACUGGCAUGGGGCAGCUCUGCUCGCUUGCAUCACACUGCUCAAACUUCUGUCCUAUUGCAGCCCACUGACGAGGUGGUUAGCUGGAAGGUAAUGAGGUGGUAGGAGGGGAGCAGGGACAGCAGGAUGGAGGGAGCUGCUGCUGAGUGACAGAGCCUAAUGAGCAGGCCUGGCGUCCAAGCCUGCUGGCAAGGUGCCAUUGCCACCAGAGGAUGGGUGGUUGCAGUCUUGGUCCGGCUGCCACGGCGACACUAUGGCAGAAAUCACUGCCACACUUGGCACGAGCUGCGGUGCGCAUGUUUCCUCUCAGGAAAACGACAAACGGAGCACAGCACAGCGAACUGGUGCUCCUCACCGCGUGGAGAGAACUCGCCCCACAAGAAGCCGUGGAAAAUCCGCUUUGACACCACAGGGCUGUCCCUGGGCGGCACUUCUCUGCCAGAGGUCGUCUCGCUGCUGACUCAGCCCCAGCUCACCCCGCAGCAGCUUCCCGCAGGGACAGCCCGACCGGGGCCAGCUC
ensembl:lncRNA